rnacentral:rRNA from 1 species
UAGGGAAUCUUCGGCAAUGGACGAAAGUCUGACCGAGCAACGCCGCGUGAGUGAAGAAGGUUUUCGGAUCGUAAAACUCUGUUGUUAGAGAAGAACAAGGACGUUAGUAACUGAACGUCCCCUGACGGUAUCUAACCAGAAAGCCACGGCUAACUACGUGCCAGCAGCCGCGGUAAUACGCAGGUGGCAAGCGUUGCCCGGAUUUAUUGGGCGUAAAGCGAGCGCAGGCGGUGUCUUAAGUCUGAUGUGAAAGCCCCCGGCUCAACCGGGGGGGGUCAUUGGAAACGGGGAGACUUGAGUGCAGAAGAGGAGAGUGGAAUUCCAUGUGUAGCGGUGAAAUGCGUAGAUAUAUGGAGGAACACCAGUGGCGAAGGCGGCUCUCUGGUCUGUAACUGACGCUGAGGCUCGAAAGCGUGGGGAGCAAACAGG